AUUGAACGCUGGCGGCAGGCCUAACACAUGCAAGUCGAGCGGAUGAGAGGAGCUUGCUUCUCGAUUCAGCGGCGGACGGGUGAGUAAUGCCUAGGAAUCUGCCUGGUAGUGGGGGACAACGUUUCGAAAGGAACGCUAAUACCGCAUACGUCCUACGGGAGAAAGCAGGGGACCUUCGGGCCUUGCGCUAUCAGAUGAGCCUAGGUCGGAUUAGCUAGUUGGUGAGGUAAUGGCUCACCAAGGCGACGAUCCGUAACUGGUCUGAGAGGAUGAUCAGUCACACUGGAACUGAGACACGGUCCAGACUCCUACGGGAGGCAGCAGUGGGGAAUAUUGGACAAUGGGCGAAAGCCUGAUCCAGCCAUGCCGCGUGUGUGAAGAAGGUCUUCGGAUUGUAAAGCACUUUAAGUUGGGAGGAAGGGCAGUAAGUUAAUACCUUGCUGUUUUGACGUUACCGACAGAAUAAGCACCGGCUAACUCUGUGCCAGCCGCCGCAGUAAUAC
rnacentral:rRNA from 1 species